UUAUAUAUUAUCACUUUGCCAAAUGAAUUUAUGUCUUUAUUGGCCAUUCAAGUGAGGCAAAAAAAAUACCUUUUUAAAUUUUAAGCAAACUGUAUCAUGUCAGAGGAAACAUUA